UCGAUUCCCUUAGUAGCGGCGAGCGAAACGGGAAGAGCCCAAACCAACAAGCUUGCUUGUUGGGGUUGUAGGACACUCUAUACGGAGUUACAAAGGACGACAUUAGACGAAUCAUCUGGAAAGAUGAAUCAAAGAAGGUAAUAAUCCUGUAGUCGAAAAUGUUGUCUCUCUUGAGUGGAUCCUGAGUACGACGGAGCACGUGAAAUUCCGUCGGAAUCUGGGAGGACCAUCUCCUAAGGCUAAAUACUCUCUAGUGACCGAUAGUGAACCAGUACCGUGAGGGAAAGGUGAAAAGCACCCCGGAAGGGGAGUGAAAUAGAACCUGAAACCGUGUGCUUACAAGUAGUCAGAGCCCGUUAAUGGGUGAUGGCGUGCCUUUUGUAGAAUGAACCGGCGAGUUACGAUUUGAUGCAAGGUUAAGCAGUAAAUGUGGAGCCGUAGCGAAAGCGAGUCUGAAUAGGGCGUUUAGUAUUUGGUCGUAGACCCGAAACCAGGUGAUCUACCCUUGGUCAGGUUGAAGUUCAGGUAACACUGAAUGGAGGACCGAACCGACUUACGUUGAAAAGUGAGCGGAUGAACUGAGGGUAGCGGAGAAAUUCCAAUCGAACCUGGAGAUAGCUGGUUCUCUCCGAAAUAGCUUUAGGGCUAGCCUCAAGUGAUGAUUAUUGGAGGUAGAGCACUGUUUGGACGAGGGGCCCCUCUCGGGUUACCGAAUUCAGACAAACUCCGAAUGCCAAUUAAUUUAACUUGGGAGUCAGAACAUGGGUGAUAAGGUCCGUGUUCGAAAGGGAAACAGCCCAGACCACCAGCUAAGGUCCCAAAAUAUAUGUUAAGUGGAAAAGGAUGUGGCGUUGCCCAGACAACUAGGAUGUUGGCUUAGAAGCAGCCAUCAUUUAAAGAGUGCGUAAUAGCUCACUAGUCGAGUGACACUGCGCCGAAAAUGUACCGGGGCUAAACAUAUUACCGAAGCUGUGGAUUGUCCUUUGGACAAUGGUAGGAGAGCGUUCUAAGGGCGUUGAAGCAUGAUCGUAAGGACAUGUGGAGCGCUUAGAAGUGAGAAUGCCGGUGUGAGUAGCGAAAGACGGGUGAGAAUCCCGUCCACCGAUUGACUAAGGUUUCCAGAGGAAGGCUCGUCCGCUCUGGGUUAGUCGGGUCCUAAGCUGAGGCCGACAGGCGUAGGCGAUGGAUAACAGGUUGAUAUUCCUGUACCACCUAUAAUCGUUUUAAUCGAUGGGGGGACGCAGUAGGAUAGGCGAAGCGUGCGAUUGGAUUGCACGUCUAAGCAGUAAGGCUGAGUAUUAGGCAAAUCCGGUACUCGUUAAGGCUGAGCUGUGAUGGGGAGAAGACAUUGUGUCUU
rnacentral:rRNA from 1 species